rnacentral:rRNA from 1 species
ACUAACACUAGCCCAAACCAAAUUUAAUUAAUUUAUAUCAAAAACUCAUUAAACUAAAACAUUUAUAAACUUAAGAGUAUAGGAGAUAGAAAUUUAUUUAGGCGCUAUAGAUAAAGUACCGUAAGGGAAAGAUGAAAGACAUACUGAAAGUAUAAAAAAGCAAAGAUUUCCACUUUUACCUUUCGCAUAAUGAUUUAGCCAGAACAAUCUUAACAAAGAGAACUUUAGUUAAAAACCCCGAACCCAGACGAGCUACUUGUGAACAGCUAAAUGAGCACACUCAUCUAUGUAGCAAAAUAGUGAGAAGAUUCCCAAGUAGCGGUGAAAAGCCUAUCGAGCCUGGUGAUAGCUGGUUGUCCAGAAUAGAAUCUUAGUUCAACUUUAAAUUUGCCAACAGAGCCAAAUAAUCCCUAUGCAAGCUUAAAUGUUAUUCUAAAGAGGGACAGCUCUUUAGAACAAGGAAACAACCUUUAUUAGAGAGUAAUCUUAUACCCGACCAUAGUUGGCUUAAAAGCAGCCACCCAUUAAGAAAGCGUUCAAGCUCAACCCACCUCACACAACUUAAUUUCAAACAACAUACACAACUCCUACAACACUACUGGACUAAUCUAUAAAAAUAUAGAAGCAAUACUGCUAAUAUAAGUAACAAGAAAUAAUUCUCCCCGCAUAAGCUUAUAUCAGACCGGAUAAACCACUGAUAGUUAACAAUUCAAUACAAAUAAGCAAUCAAUAAAUUAUCCUAUUAUAUUUAUUGUUAACCCAACACAGGCAUGCGUCCAAGGGAAAGAUUAAAAGAAGUAGAAGGAACUCGGCAAAUCUAAAACCCCGCCUGUUUACCAAAAACAUCACCUCUAGCAUACACAGUAUUAGAGGCACUGCCUGCCCAGUGACAUGCAUUAAACGGCCGCGGUAUCCUGACCGUGCAAAGGUAGCAUAAUCACUUGUUCUCUAAAUAAGGACUUGUAUGAACGGCCCCACGAGGGUUUAACUGUCUCCUACUUCCAAUCAGUGAAAUUGACAUCUCCGUGAAGAGGCGGAGAUACAAUAAUAAGACGAGAAGACCCUAUGGAGCUUCAAUUUAACAGCUCAACCAUACUCAAACUAACCUAUAGGCCUAAUAAACACCGGAUAUGAGCCGUAAAUUUCGGUUGGGGUGACCUCGGAGUAUAAAUAAACCUCCGAAUGAUUUAAACCAGAGACUUCACCAGUCUAAACUUCAUCAUUCAUUGACCCAAACUUAUUUGAACAACGGAACAAGUUACCCUAGGGAUAACAGCGCAAUCCUAUUAAAGAGUCCAUAUCGACAAUAGGGUUUACGACCUCGAUGUUGGAUCAGGAUAUCCCAAUGGUGCAACCGCUAUUAAAGGUUCGUUUGUUCAACGAUUAAAAUCCUACGUGAUCUGAGUUCAGACCGGAGUGAUCCAGGUCGGUUUCUAUCUAUUUUCUAUCUUUCCCAGUACGAAAGGACAAGAAAGAUGGGGCCACCUCUACUUAAAGCACCCUUAACUUAAUAGAUGAAAUAAUCUUAAACUAAAAAUUAAUUAAAUACCCUGCCCAAGAACAGGGCUU